UACGUAGGGUGCGAGCGUUAAUCGGAAUUACUGGGCGUAAAGUGUGCGCAGGCGGCCGAGCAAGUCGAGUGUGAAAGCCCCGAGCUUAACUUGGGAAUUGCGCUCGAAACUACUUGGCUGGAGUGUGGCAGAGGAAGGUGGAAUUCCACGUGUAGCGGUGAAAUGCGUAGAGAUGUGGAGGAACACCGAUGGCGAAGGCAGCCCCCUGGGCUAACACUGACGCUCAUGCACGAAAGCGUGGGGAGCAAACAGG
rnacentral:rRNA from 1 species